GCUCAUUACUCAGUCAGACAUGGCUGAAAGAGACGGUUCCCAAUCCCGGUUAAAUGUGACUAAAUUCAAAGAAGUGGUAUCGUGGUAAGCUGAUGUCAGACCAAUUUCUGUGAUUCAUUGAAAAGGUCCGAUUCAACAGAUAGAUUCGUCCUCCAAUCUGACAUCACUGAUUGUUGUGCUGUACUCCCCUCAACGCAGCAGUAGGCUAUACGCUACGUUAAGUAUCGUUUUGGCUGGGACAAAGGAUUUAAACGCCACUUUUGUUGUGGGCAGCUCUCCAUCCCCAAACAUGGUUCAGAAUUACAAGCAGAUGUCCGGAGACUGUUCCCCAACCAACACCGAGGAACUACUCACACCAGCACACGAGGAAAAUGUGCGAUUCAUUCAUUACACUUGGCAGCGAGUAAUGAGAGAAAUGCAGACUUGCCAGGGAAGUGAAAACAAUAACCAGGGGCCUCAGAAGUAUGUGGAGAGGAUGCCAAACCCUGCACUAAGCUGUAGGUUCAACUGGGUGAUUUUUGUCCUGGGGAUUGUAUUUUGUUGAUAAAGGAACAUUUUAGAGCUUUUACACCAGUCGACUUGAAUGAUGUGAAAAGGAAAAACACACAAGAGUCCAAGAAGUCAUUAUGAAAUUUUUGUUAACUUCUUGCCUGAUGCACUGAUUAUUAUUAUUAUUCAGACCAUUUAUCUGCCGAUCCCUGAUCCAUUCAAGCGAUAAGCAUUGUUCAUUGAUGCCUACUCCGUCCUAUGUUUAAGGACAAAUGAUGCUCCUUGAAAUAAUGUUUUUAUAAUUCCUAUUCCUUUUCGUAGAGUGCUGCAGAUAAUAUUUUCAUGUAGCACUUUUUAUUCCAAGAAUGUAUAUUUUUGUAGGCCAAACCAGAAGUUAGCAUCACCCUGGAUUCCUCAACAAAAACCCAUUAGGAUUUUUCCAUUGGCUUUUGGAUUAUUGCAGAAAAUAAACUGUGACCAACAAAAGGUUACGAUUCUUAUGUUUUGUUCUUUGUAAUAAUCUUCACAAAUGAACACAACUUUAGUGAUUUUUAAAAUACAAUUGGUAAAAGUAAAAAGCUAAUUGUAGACAAUAAACGAACUACACUAUGAUCUCAUGUUCGCUGUCACCACCAUUAAGCGUCCAACAACUCUUUAAGUCUUUAUUUAUAUAUUUUUUUUACUUCCCUGAAAGUUUGAGUUAAAAUAUUUUUCAAAAGUGUGAUUACAUCAAGUGUGAAACACAUCAAGGCUGUAAAAGCGGAAGAUAUAGAGUAGAUGAGCUUACCUGUUUGGGGUGAUCACAUUUAAUGUCCCCAACAACCUCUGUAAUCCCAUUUAGCCACUUGUUAGCAACUACCUUUUUUCAAGACAAGUUUUACAUAUUUAAAAAAAUCACAAGAGGUAAUACUGAUGUAUUUUAUGUUGUGAAAUAAAACGUGAAAAUAUCCUGAGCUUGUGUUACCUUACUUUAGGCAUUUAACCAAAAACCCAUUAAAAAAAAAAAAACAAUGACUUCAGGACGAUUGAAUCAGAAGUGCUAAAAUGCUUACUCGUUUCUGGGUUUUGACCUACAAAAAAUGUAUCAUCCCUGCAGCACUAUAUUUAUGCUCAUGUAAACCAGCAUAUAGGGCAAAAAGUAUGACUUUGAUCUAUGAUGAUCACCCAUCAAACCAACAAAAUGAACAAAUUUAUAAUAAAAAAAAUGGUAAAAAAUUGCUAUUGUAUUUUUCAGUACAAUUAUUCCACAGCCACAUUAUUUUUCUUCAGAUGUUGCAAGGAAACGAUUGGAUAAUGUGCUCAUAGGUAAGCUAAUAAACCUGUUAUCUAAAGAAUUGUGCAAUUAUUAAAACACUCUGAAUACCUUCUUGGUUUACAGAUGUCUAUAAGAAGAAUACAGCACAAAGAUUUGGAAUAGAAGAAUGCAUAUGUACUGUGUAUAAUUACACUGUUUUCACUUAAAAGCAGUAACUUGUUCAAGUUAGCCGGGAUGGCUCAACUUACACCCUGGGCAAAGAUGUGCCAGUGCCACUCUUUUGAAAGUCAUAUUUCUAUAGCUUAAUGUUAGAUGAUUUCUUAUUUCAGUUCCUCACAUCCUUCAAUAUUGCUGCAUCAGUUUAUUUCAAUACCUUUGUCUCAGUUGUACAAGUUUUAUGUUGUUGGCAGCUUGCAUACUAUGUUAUACUACAGCCUACAAAUAUGUCUGCGAUAUGUAAGAAUAGCCUUUUUUUAUUUUUUUUUAUUUAGUAUACAUUCAGUAAUGAGGUUCAGAGUGGGGCCUCUUAUGAAUUAUUUUUAGGAAAUGAUUAUAAUCAAUUACCAUAUGGCUUACAUACAAUCAAGGCAUAUAAAAUCUACAUAAAUCUGGACAAAUAUGCAUGUUAAAGUUAAAUCCAUUACAAAUAUGUUAGCUAAGAAUGACUUUACUUUUCCAAAAUAACUCAUGAAGGUAUGAGAAUGGUAUCAGUUUUAAAUGGUGGGAGUUUCAUGUCAGUUAUUUAUGAUAUGCACAAAUGCAUACCACUGUCAGUUUCCUGUGACAUUCUGUACUGUGUUCAUCAUCUAAAAUGACUGUCCCUUGGACUGCCAAUCGCAGUCAGCUGUUUUGUACAAAACCAUACCAUGUUGAUUUUAAAUUUGAAUGUCAUUUUGUGGGAUAUUUAAUCAUAAAAACAUUUAUUAUAAUAAACAAACAAAAGGAACAA